AUUGAUUUUUUCUAUUCUUCCACUAUUGGCCUCACAGAUGGUGACAACCCUCUUACGAAAAUAGUUGCAAAUAUUGCAAAUGAAUUUUAUGUCAAUGGCACUCCACUCCUCAUCAAAGGAAGCUUAGAUGGCUUCAACGUUCGGGUGACAGAUGAUAUGUGCGGCCAGAAAGAUAAGUCGAGGGGAUGGACAUCCAGACUGUGUCCCAUAUUAUCUCGUCCCAGAAAGCGAUAUUGCUACCUGAAUAGGUCUGAAUAAUUUUGGGGCACUCUGAGUGGGGACCUCCUCUUGCUGAAAGACAACAUUGUUGUCGGUAAAUUUUCCUUGAUCCAGUGAAGCAGGUUGGUCAUGAAAUCGUCGAUGUACACGACUGCCGUGAGCCUUUAAACCUGACAGGAAACAGGUCAGGGAGCCAAAAUCCUUAGCGCCAUGGCUGAUGCUGGUUGUUUAGAGGUCAUCCCCAUUUGAAGUUCCUUAUUGAAUUCCCUGAAGCUCACAUAACGUUUAUUACUGCGAUUGUAGACCUCAUUAUAGGAUUGUGAUCUGCAUGAAGAAGAGUUGAUGUCCUUUGCCUUGAAUCUCACUGUAAUGAUAUUUCUUGCCCAAUUUAAAAAAUUCAAAAAGCAACAGGUGCUUGAGAUACAUGGCUAUCUACACAAUUACUGACAGUUUAAAAAUCUCUCAAAUCAAUAUAAUACGAGCAUAAGGUCGAUAUAUGAAUGAUGUAAGGAAAUGGGUAAAUAUGGAUAAUUAUUUUAUGGCAAAUAAGAAAGCUCAAGAGUCCAGAGACAAUUCAUUCGCAAGUAUAUUAUGAAUACGCAGAGAUGAUAAAAAGUCAGAACUUGGACUUGUAGUUACAGAUCCAAAUCAAGUAUCAAGUCUUUUUGAUUGUGUGAUCAAGUAAAGUUGUACAUCUUCAAAAUAUGGACUCAAGUCCAAGUUGAGUCGUAAGUCUGAAGUCCAAGUCCCCACCUCAGUGAAUAAGUAGUACAGAUAGAUUUUAAGAACAAACGUUAAAGAAAUGGUUCAUUCUCUUUUAUUAAUGAUCCUUUUUAAAAGAUCUGAUAGGAUUCUUAGACAAGUAUGUUUUAUAUAUGAAUGAGCCUAUAAUGAUAAAAGUUGCAUCUUAAUGUUAAUAUUCCAACUACAAAAGCUUAUAUUUCUAAAUAUAGUCUUACUUAAAGUAUGAUAUUGAUUAAUAGAAAUGAUUCGAAUCAAUAAACAUCUGCCCGAUUUUUCUAUGCUUAA
rnacentral:lncRNA from 1 species